rnacentral:rRNA from 1 species
AGCGAACGCUGGCGGCAGGCCUAACACAUGCAAGUCGAACGAACCUUUCGGGGUUAGUGGCGGACGGGUGAGUAACACGUGGGAACGUGCCUUUAGGUUCGGAAUAACUCAGGGAAACUUGUGCUAAUACCGAAUGUGCCCUUCGGGGGAAAGAUUAAUCGCCUUUAGAGCGGCCCGCGUCUGAUUAGCUAGUUGGGUGAGGUAAUGGCUCACCAAGGCGACGAUCAGUAGCUGGUCUGAGAGGAUGAUCAGCCACAUUGGGACUGAGACACGGCCCAAACUCCUACGGGAGGCAGCAGUGGGGAAUCUUGCGCAAGGGGCGAAAGCCUGACGCAGCCAUGCCGCGUGAAUGAUGAAGGUCUUAGGAUUGUAAAAUUCUUUCACCGGGGACGAUAAUGACGGUACCCGGAGAAGAAGCCCCGGCUAACUUCGUG